GACGAACGCUGGCGGCGUGCUUAACACAUGCAAGUCGAGCGGUAAGGCCCUUUCGGGGGUACACGAGCGGCGAACGGGUGAGUAACACGUGGGUGACCUGCCCUCAGCUCUGGGAUAAGCCUGGGAAACCGGGUCUAAUACCGGAUAUGACUCCAUGACGCAUGUUGUGGGGUGGAAAGCCUUGUGCGGCUGAGGAUGGGCCCGCGGCCUAUCAGCUUGUUGGUGGGGNGAUGGCCUACCAAGGCGACGACGGGUGGCCGGCCUGAGAGGGCGACCGGCCACACUGGGACUGAGACACGGCCCAGACUCCUACGGGAGGCAGCAGUGGGGGAUCUUGCGCAAUGGGCGAAAGCCUGACGCAGCGACGCCGCGUGAGGGAUGAC
rnacentral:rRNA from 1 species